AUGAGGUUCCCUGCUCAGCUUCUGGGUCUACUGGUGCUCUGGAUUCCAGGAGCUAAAGGUGAUAUUGUGCUGACCCAGAGUCCACUUUCUCUGUCCGUCGUCCCCAGAGAACCUGCCUCCAUCUCCUGCAAAUCUAGUGAGACUCUGCUGCACAGUAAUGGAAACACCUAUAUUUACUGGUUCCAUCAGAAACCAGGAGAGUCCCCAAAACUCCUGUUCUAUUUAAAUUCUAAUCGGCAACCUGGGGUCCCAGACAGAUUCAGUACCAGUGGGUCAGGGACUGAUUUCACUCUUAAAAUAAGUAGAAUGGAGCCUGAGGAUGUUGGAGUUUACUACUGUUUUCAAGCUAUAAAGAAUCCUCACACAGUGAUUUAG